UUGGAGGGCAAGUCUGGUGCCAGCAGCCGCGGUAAUUCCAGCUCCAAUAGCGUAUAUUAAAGUUGUUGCAGUUAAAAAGCUCGUAGUUGAAUUUCGGGAUCAAUAUGCCGGUCAUGCCUUGGUAUGCACUGGUAUCUUUGAUUUCUCCCUUCUGACGAACUUUGAUGUCAUUAAUUUGGUGUCAUAGGGAAUCAGGACUGUUACUUUGAAAAAAUUAGAGUGUUUAAAGCAAGCUCACGCUUGAAUACAUUAGCAUGGAAUAAUGAAAUAGGACGUUUGAUUCUAUUUUGUUGGUUUCUAGGAUCGACGUAAUGAUUAAUAGGGAUAGUUGGGGGCAUUAGUAUACAAUUGUCAGAGGUGAAAUUCUUGGAUUUAUUGAAGACUAACUACUGCGAAAGCAUUUGCCAAGGAUGUUUUCAUUAAUCAAGAACGAAAGUUAGGGGAUCGAAGACGAUCAGAUACCGUCGUAGUCUUAACCAUAAACUAUGCCGACUAGGGAUCGGAUGAUGUUAAUUUUUUAAUGACUCAUUCGGCACCUUACGGGAAAC
rnacentral:rRNA from 1 species